AUUGAACGCUGGCGGCAGGCCUAACACAUGCAAGUCGAGCGGAUGAAGGGGGCUUUCUCCUGGAUUCAGCGGCGGACGGGUGAGUAAUUCCUAGGAAUCUGCCUUGUAGUGGGGGAUAACGUCCGUAAACGGGCGCUAAUACCGCAUACGUUCUGAGGGAGAAAGUGGGGGAUCUUCGGACCUCACGCUAUUAGCUGAGCCUAGGUCGGAUUAGCUAGUGGGUGGGGUAAUGGCCUACCAAGGCGACGAUCCGUAACUGGUCUGAGAGGAUGAUCAGUCACACUGGAACUGAGACACGGUCCAGACUCCUACGGGAGGCAGCAGUGGGGAAUAUUGGACAAUGGGCGAAAGCCUGAUCCAGCAAUGCCGCGUGUGUGAAGAAGGUCUUCGGAUUGUAAAGCACUUUAAGUUGGGAGGAAGGGCAGUAAGUUAAAACCUUGCUGUUUUGACGGUACCAAAAGAAUAAGCACCGGCUAACUACGUG
rnacentral:rRNA from 1 species